ensembl:lncRNA
CCUGGUACUCCUCCUCUUCGCCCGGUAGCUCCAGCACCAGGUACCCCACCUGCUCCACCACCUGGAGAAGAGCCAUAACCUGAUUUGUUUGGCUUCACUGCACCCUGUCCGGCUCCACCUGGUCCAUAACCACCAGGCCCAGUCCCAUAGCCAUCUGGUAUGGCCCCAACUCCUCCCUGGCCAAGUCCGGUCCCAGCACCCCCUCCUGGUCCAUAACCACCAACAGUUCCACCACCAGGUCCAAAUCCUGCUCCAGGACCAUAACCACCGGGGACACCUCCACCACCACCAAGCCCAGAUCCAGGCACUCCUCCAUGGCCUAGCCCAGUACCUGCUCCUCCUCCAGGCACUCCUCCCUGACCUAGCCCAGUCCUUGCUCCCCCUCCUGGCACUCUUCCCUGGCCAGCUGCUUGUCCCCCUCCAAGGGAACCACUUAGCAUACCUGUCAGUGGAAGAACUUCAUCAGAACAAAGAUUAUUAUUCUUUGAGAGAAUGAAUGGAACAUCUAAAAAGAUUAUGUACUCACCAUAUUUAUGAGAUCCAGCGCCACCUGGUCCAUAGCCACCAGGUCCAUAGCCACCAGGUCCAGCCCCAUAACCUCCAGGACCAGCUCCGCCAGGACCAAGACCAGCCCCAGGCCCAUAACCUCCAGGCCCAGCACCAUAGCCACCAGGUCCUGCCUCUGCUCCACCUGGUCUGGCUCCACCUGGUCUGACCCCAGCUCCUCCCGGCCCUGCUCUACCUGGUCCAUAGCCACCAGGUUCAGCCCCAUAACCUCCAGGACCAAGACCAGCCCCAGGCCCAUAACCUCCAGGCCCUGCGCCAUAGCCACCAGGUCCGGCCUCUGCUCCACCUGGUCUGACCCCAGCUCCUCCCGGCCCUGCUCCACCUGGUCCAUAACCUUUAUGUCCGGCACCAUAUCCACCUUGCCCGGCCCCAGCCCCACCUAGUCCGACCCCAGUUCCUCCUGGUCCAUAACCAACUGUUCCGCCACCAUAACCACCAAGCCCAUCUCCAGCUCCAACAGCUCUCCCAUAGCCUGAAACAGAGGGGACAGUGAAUUCACAGACACUAGGAUACAUUUUUAUUUUCACACAUGAUUUAAAUGUGAUGUGACAUUAUUAAAAAUGUAUGUGACAAUGUUUCUGCCAUACUAUUAGGUGGUUUUCCAGUGCCAGUUCCUGUACCAGUUCCAGCACCUGUGGGGUAUCUGCUACCAACUCCACCUGGUAUAUAUCCACCUGGUCCAGCUCCACCUUGACCUCCACCUAGACCGCCUCCUUGACCUCCACCCACUCCUCCUGGUCCGGCUCCUAUGGCACCCAGGCUGCCAGCUCCACCCAGACCUCCACCAACACCACCGGCUCCAGCACCUCCAGUCUUGUAUGGCUUGGAUCCAUAUCCUCCAGGCCCAGCCCCUGUCCCGUAGCCACUUGGCCCAGCACCAUAGCCACCUUGUCCAGCACCAUAUCCACCUGGCCCAGCACCAUAGCCACCAGGACCAGCUCCAGCCCCAUAACCACCUGGACCAGCACCAUAACCACCGGGUCUGGCCCCAUAACCACCGGGUCCAGUGCCAUAUCCUCCAGGACUGGCUCCGUAUCCGCCUGGUCCGGCACCAUAUCCUCCAGGACGUCGUCCUCCUGCUCCAAAUUGGCCAGCACCAUAUCCU